rnacentral:rRNA from 1 species
GACGAACGCUGGCGGCGUGCUUAACACAUGCAAGUCGAACGGAAAGGCCCUGCUUUUGUGGGGUGCUCGGGUGGCGAACGGGUGAGUAACACGUGAGUAACCUGCCCUUGACUUUGGGAUAACUUCAGGAAACUGGGGCUAAUACCGGAUAGGAGCUCCUGCUGCAUGGUGGGGGUUGGAAAAUUUCGGCGGUUGGGGAUGGACUCGCGGCUUAUCAGCUUGUUGGUGGGGUAGUGGCUUACCAAGGCUUUGACGGGUAGCCGGCCUGAGAGGGUGACCGGCCACAUUGGGACUGAGAUACGGCCCAGACUCCUACGGGAGGCAGCAGUGGGGAAUAUUGCACAAUGGGCGGAAGCCUGAUGCAGCAACGCCGCGUGCGGGAUGACGGCCUUCGGGUUGUAAACCGCUUUCGCCUGUGACGAAGCGUGAGUGACGGUAAUGGGUAAAGAAGCACCGGCUAACUACGUG